GAAAGGAUGACCCAGGUUUUAGAUUGACUAUUUUUUGAGCUAUGGAGCUCCUUUGAGACUGCUGUCCAGAUCAGCUCGUUGCUACUGGUAUUCGAAGAUUCUCAGGAGUCCAAGUUGUACUUUUGCUUGUAGCCUAAUUUAAAAAUGAGAUGUUUUGCAUCUGAGCAAAAACCUUUUGCUGGAUACAGGAAAAGGCUGGACUCUGAUCUAGUUAUCUUUUGAUUACAGCAACAGCUCUGGGUGAGAAUAGAAUUUAUAGAGGAAUAAUCUGUGAAGCCAUAGAAAGAAACCCUAAAUUAAUCUAGUGAGUAUAUGGCCUCUCACCAUUUUAGGAGGCACCAGAUUCAUUUGCACUAUUAGGAAUGCUAGUUUUGUGCAAAAAUAAAUGCCUUACCUGUUUCCCCCCACAUUUAGGUUGAAAAGCUUUCAAAUGUUCCAAGUUAUGCUGAACCAAAAACAAAUAAAACAAAAUGAAAAAAAAAAAAAAAAAUAAUAAUAAAAAAUUUCCCCCACAAAAACAUAACAAAAAAAAAAAAAGCCCACACGUUUAAUUACUGCUUUGAAAUGCAAUGGUAUAGAGCACGGUUUCUGACAGUGUAAUGAUAGCUUUGUAAGUUAGUUCAUGUCAUGCUGGGAACUCUGUAUGAGGCGGCCACAGGCAGCAGCAGCCCACCUACCUACCCACUUGCAUUCUAUUAGUAUUGAGCUUUUUUGUUUGUUUGUUUGUUCUUUUGAAUCUUCCUUGUGCAUCCUGACCAAGAAAUAUCUUUGAUUAUGAUCAAUGUAUUAUGUCAAAAUGUAGGCUAGUUGAACUUUUGUAAAGUUGCCUGGAAUGUCAUUUGUUAGGUUAUAAACACAAAAUUUAAAUGAAGGGUUUUAUGUGUUGUGUACAAAUCUUAAUUAUUUUAAAAUGGACAGACUUGUCAUUACAUUUGUAACCUUGUACAGAGGAUUUUUCACUAUGUGCCUAGCUUGGUGUCCAUUCAACUAAAAUUGAAAAAAAAAAGGUGCAUGAAGAGUUAAAAUCAGAAGUUAAACAAAGUCUAUGUAGAGAUGACUAUUUUAUAUUACAUGGCCCAAUCCUGUAUUUAUUUCUACCCCCUUUUUGAAAGUAUUUAUAAAACUAGUUGAAGACAGCUGUAUUUUUUUGUUGAACUAUUUAGUAGAAUUUGUGCCUUUUUGUCUGUAUGUGAAUAAAUGCUGUACAUUUUGCAAU
rnacentral:lncRNA from 1 species